rnacentral:rRNA from 1 species
AGUCAUUAUAAAAUUAACAUCGUCCGAUCCCUAGUCGGCAUAGUUUAUGGUUAAGACUACGACGGUAUCUGAUCGUCUUCGAUCCCCUAACUUUCGUUCUUGAUUAAUGAAAACAUCCUUGGCAAAUGCUUUCGCAGAAGUUAGUCUUCAAUAAAUCCAAGAAUUUCACCUCUGACAAUUGAAUACUAAUGCCCCCAACUAUCCCUAUUAAUCAUUACGGUGAUCCUAGAAACCAACAAAAUAGAACCAUGCCGUCCUAUUUUAUUAUUCCAUGCUAAUGUAUUCAGGCACUAGCCUGCUUUGAGCACUCUAAUUUUUUCAAGGUAAUAGUCCUGCUUCCCCAACACACCAAAUUAAUGACAUGCUGGUUAUUCAGAAGGUAAGAACCCAUCACAUCAGUACGGACAAUUAAGCCCGACCAACGGACAGAUUCCGAAAUUCAACUACGAGCUUUUUAACUGCAACAACUUUAAUAUACGCUAUUGGAGCUGGAAUUACCGCGGCUGCUGGCACC